rnacentral:rRNA from 1 species
AGGACGAACGCUGGCGGCGUGCUUAACACAUGCAAGUCGAGCGGAAAGGCCUCCUUCGGGAGGUACUCGAGCGGCGAACGGGUGAGUAACACGUGGGCAACCAACCCCUCACAUCGGGAUACCCCGGGGAAACUCGGAUCAAUACCGGAUAAUGCGCGACGCUGUUGGGCGUCGCACCAAAGGUAGCUUCGGCCUCUGGUGAGGGACGGGCCCGCGGCCCAUUAGCUUGUUGGUGGGUAAUGGCCUACCAAGGCAACGAUGGGUAGCUGGUCUGAGAGGAUGAUCAGCCACACUGGGACUGAGACACGGCCCAAACUCCUACGGGAGGCAGCAGUGGGGAAUCUUGGACAAUGGGGGAAACCCUGAUCCAGCGAUGCCGCGUGAGUGAUGAAGGCCUUCGGGUUGUAAAACUCUUUCGACGGGACGAUAAUGACGGUACCCGUAGAAGAGCUCCGGCUAACUUCGUGCCAGCAGCCGC